rnacentral:tmRNA from 1 species
GGGGGUGUUAUGGAUUCGAUUUUGCGAAGUAAAUUAAAAUUGCAGGUUGGAGAUGAUGGUUGGCUCCAUGAUCAAUCCAUCGAAGCAAUAAAUGAAGAUAAUGUUAUUCAAUUCCCAGGUGCUUCUUUUGCGAUAGCUGCCUAGGAAUACGUGUGAAUUGCCUAUAGAUGCAAUUUCGUCUUUAAAAUGGAUGCUCGUUAGAUUUUAAAGACCUGUUGAGCGAGUAUAAUUAGGGGUGAGUGAUUGACUUCUAAUCGUAUUUUAAAUCACUUGCAAAAUAAGAUGUGUGCAUUCAAGCUUGUUUUGGACGUUUAAAAUGUACUAAACUUGUAGAAAUUUUAAUUGAAUUCACAGAAGACGCGGGUUCAAAUCCCGCCACCUCCACCA